UACGGAGGGUGCAAGCAUUAAUCGGAUUUAUUGGGCGUAAAGGGCGCGUAGGCGGGGAUAAUAGUCAGAUGUGAAAUCCCGGGGCUCAACCUCGGAACUGCAUUUGAAACUGUAUCUCUAGAGGGUAAGCGGAGAAAACGGAAUUCCACAAGUAGCGGUGAAAUGCGUAGAUAUGUGGAAGAACACCGGUGGCGAAGGCGGUUUUCUAGCUUAUUCCUGACGCUGAGGCGCGAAAGCAAGGGGAUCAAACAGGG
rnacentral:rRNA from 1 species